GACGAACGCUGGCGGCGUGCUUAACACAUGCAAGUCGAACGGUGAAGGGGUCUGCUUUUGUGGGCCCUGGAUGAGUGGCGAACGGGUGAGUAACACGUGAGUAACCUGCCCCCUUCUUCUGGAUAACCGCAUGAAAGUGUGGCUAAUACGGGAUAUUCUGGGUCUGUCGCAUGAUGGGUCUGGGAAAGAUUGCGCCUUUGGGUGUUUUUGGGGGGGGAUGGGCGCGCGGCCUAUCAGCUUGUUGGUGGGGUGAUGGCCUACCAAGGCGGUGACGGGUAGCCGGCCUGAGAGGGUGGACGGUCACACUGGGACUGAGACACGGCCCAGACUCCUACGGGAGGCAGCAGUGGGGAAUAUUGCACAAUGGGCGCAAGCCUGAUGCAGCGACGCCGCGUGAGGGAUGGAGGCCUUCGGGUUGUAAACCUCUUUCGCCAGUGAAGCAGGCCUGCUCCUUGUGGGUGGGUUGACGGUAGCUGGAUAAGAAGCGCCGGCUAACUACGUG
rnacentral:rRNA from 1 species